rnacentral:rRNA from 1 species
CGCGUAGGCGGCUCGGCAAGUUGGAUGUGAAAGCCCUGGGCUCAACCCAGGAUGUGCAUUCAAAACUGCCGAGCUUGAAUCUCGGAGGGGGUCAGGGAAUUCCCGGUGUAGAGGUGAAAUUCGUAGAUAUCGGGAGGAACACCAGUGGCGAAGGCGCUGACCUGGACGAUGAUUGACGCUGAGGCGCGAAAGCGUGGGGAGCAAACA